rnacentral:rRNA from 1 species
UCCUUAAACCAUUGUGACCAAUCCUUACACGUUGCUUCGGCGGUGCCUUCGGGCGCCGCCGGAGGUACGAAACUCUUCUGUAUUAUAGUGGCAUCUCUGAGUAAACAAACAAAUAAGUUAAAACUUUCAACAACGGAUCUCUUGGUUCUGGCAUCGAUGAAGAACGCAGCGAAAUGCGAUAAGUAAUGUGAAUUGCAGAAUUCAGUGAAUCAUCGAAUCUUUGAACGCACAUUGCGCCCGCUGGUAUUCUAGCGGGCAUGCCUGUUCGAGCGUCAUUUCAACCCUCAAGCCCUGCUUGGUGUUGGGGCCCUACGGCUGCCGUAGGCCCUGAAAACUAGUGGCGGGCUCGCUACAACUCCGAGCGUAGUAAUUAUCACUCGCUAGGGACGUUUGGCGCGCUCCUGCCGUUAAAGACCAUCUUUAACCCAAGGUUGACCUCGGAUCAGGUAGGAAUACCCGCUGAACUUAAGCAUAUCAAUAAGCGGAGAAA